rnacentral:lncRNA from 1 species
GUCCAUGGCACUGGGCAAAGUCAGUAGCUCUGUGGAUACGCAUGUGGUCAGCAAAGACGAGCAGAAAUGAACCCAUGCUCGGUGCUGGCUGUCCUGCUUUCCUGAGCUCAGCUGCUCGAGUGUGUUUCAAGAAGAAUAAUAGUAAAAGCUGAAUGCCUCUGCCACUGAUCGCCGUCCCCUCCUGUCCUGAUUUAGUGAGAGCCACGGAGUGAUCCUGGGCACAUCUCAGAGUUAUAGGAAAGAUGAGCUAAUGAUGUCAUCCAGGGAGGUUGCCUGACCAAACAGGGCCUCAUGGGACACCAUACUGAUUCCAGCUGGGAACCAAGAUGAGUAAGAUGCAAUCCCUACCUCCAAGGAGGCCAAGACAGGAACAAGAACCUCUAGGUAUCAACUUCCACUUCUCUUCUCUGGAAAAUUUGAGGGCUGUCUCCAAACGGUGCUUCGAUUGCGAGUCAGAGGGAGAAGAAUGUUCAGGUCCCGUAAGCAGAAGCCCCCACGGAGUGUGUUUGCUGGUAACCAGCUUUUCUCAGGUUGUAAUGACUGAAGGUGAAUGAAGGAUUGAAGGCUUUGGGUGGAGAAUUAUCAAUCAGAUAGGGUGAAUAAACUCAAUUCCUCCAAAACACGAACUAUUUCAAAGGUCACUGUCUUAAGAAAAAAUGUUGAUCAAUGGUCUCUUUCAGGAAAUCAACUCCGUUGAAAUAUAAUUUAUACUGCUUUUUACUUAUGUCUUCUUUCAGUGAAUUAAACUAUAGCCACC